rnacentral:sRNA from 1 species
GCCAGGUGCAGUGUGCAUGCCUGUAAUCCCAACUACUUGGGAGGCUGAGACAGGAGAAUUGUGAGUUCAAAGCCAGCCUCAGCAAUGGCAGGGCACUAAGCAACUCAGUGAGACCCUGUCUCUA